UGAAAAGAUCAAGUUAUAGAAGGUAUGUGGUUAGUUAUUGAUUUGAAAAAUUACUGUAUUAUUUCUAUGUAGGCAGUUGUAGUUAAUUGUAGUCAAUUGUAGUUAAUUGUAGUUAGUUGUAGUUAAUUGUUGUCAGUUGUAGUUAAUUGUAGUCAGUUAUAGUUAAUUGUAGUCAAUUGUAGUUCAUUGUAGUGACGUGAAAGCCAGUUUGUAGGUAAUUGUAGUCAAUUGUAGUUAAUUGUAGUCAAUUAUAGU
rnacentral:lncRNA from 1 species